UUCAGAUUUGCUCUUUGAUCCCGAAUCCGUACCCAGAUUUAUUUCUUUCGUAUGCUUCACAAUUCUGUUCCGAAUCGUAGCUAUAGUUACAAGCUAAUAGGGUUUGUAAAUUAACUAUAAAUGGAAUAUUUUUGUUUAUUCCGUUCGCAUAACUGGAUACGAUUAGGUUGGACAUCCACGAACACAUGUACAGUGUGCAAGAGUGAGGAGUAAGAGAUGUUUGUGCAUUGUCGACUUGCCACGGUAAAGAAAUGUCUUCUACAUCUAGACCUGUUCAUUGUUUAGAGUCUUUGGGCAAGAGAUUAUUUCGUUCCAUCCGAAUACGAUGCGUGGGAUGCUACCAAAACCUGAAGAUGAUGAAGGUCGACUUGCUCCAAAGCCAAAAAGGUUUCAACGCAAUGUAAAAUUUGCAAAAGCAUACUGUAUUGUUUUUCUAAACUUCCAGUUCACCAAUAAAAUUUUGUUUAUUUUAUA